CACGUAGGGGCCAAGCGUUGUCCGGAUUCAUUGGGCGUAAAGAGCUCGUAGGCGGUUCAGUCAGUCGGGUGUGAAAUCUCCGGGCUCAACCCGGAGGGGCCACCCGAUACUGCUGGACUUGAGUUCGGUAGGGGAGUGGGGAAUUCCUGGUGUAGCGGUGAAAUGCGCAGAUAUCAGGAGGAACACCGGUGGCGAAGGCGGGUUGCUGGGCUGACACUGACGCUGAGGCGCGAAAGCUAGGGGAGCGAACGGG
rnacentral:rRNA from 1 species